rnacentral:misc_RNA from 1 species
GAUGAAGAACGCAGCGAAAUGCGAUAAGUAGUGUGAAUUGCAGAAUUCAGUGAAUCAUCGAAUCUUUGAACGCACAUUGCGCCCUUUGGUAUUCCUUAGGGCACGCCUGUUCGAGCGUCAUUUAAACCUUCAAGCUAAGCUUGGUGUUGGGUGACUGUCCGCCUCACGGCGGACUCGCCUCAAAAUUAUUGGCGGCCGGUACAUUGGCUUCGAGCGCAGCAGAAACGCGAACUCGGGCCCGUCGUAUUGGCUCCCAGAAGCUAUCUUCACAAUUUUGACCUCGGAUCAGGUAGGGAUACCCGCUGAACUUAAGCAUAUCAAUAAGCGGAGGA